rnacentral:rRNA from 1 species
AGCGAACGCUGGCGGCAGGCCUAACACAUGCAAGUCGAACGCCCAGCAAUGGGAGUGGCAGACGGGUGAGGAACACGUGGGAACGUGCCCUUUGGUUCGGAAUAACUCAGGGAAACUUGAGCUAAUACCGUAUAAGCCCUUCGGGGGAAAGAUUUAUCGCCAAAGGAUCGGCCCGCGUCUGAUUAGCUAGUUGGUGAGGUAACGGCUCACCAAGGCGACGAUCAGUAGCUGGUCUGAGAGGAUGAUCAGC